UGUCUAUGUAUUGCACGGCAGGGUAAA
rnacentral:piRNA from 1 species